CUUUCAUGCCAGUGAAACAGUUUAGGUACCACCUCUUCACAUAUGCUCUUAUGUGUCUUGGUUCCCACUGUCUGCUUUGAUAUGUCUGCUGAUGUCUAUCAGCUGAUUUAUUUGUGAAGAGAACUCAAAUAUGAAUUUAAGUAAUGCCACCAAAGAAGGUUCAAACCCAGCCAGAUAAUUUCAUGGUAUUUAGGCUCCUAAAGAUACCAUCAGGUUCCAAGUAAUAUUUUCAGAAGCUUUCAGGUUCUGGAUUCAAUGAAAUCAAUUUGGAACAUCAAAUCUGCUCUUUAAAAACAGAACUAUCAAUUUCCUCAUCUAUAUUUCACAUACAUCUCUAUAGAAUCUGAGCACUCUGAAAAUGUUAGCUACACUAUUUGAUCUUGCUAUAGAUGAAGAGGUGGUACCACUUCUAUCCUAUCCCAUCCCAUCCCAUCCCAUCCCAUCCCAUCCCAUCCCAUCCCAUCCCAUCCCAUCCCAUCCCAUCCUAUCCUAUCCUAUCCUAUCCUAUCCUAUCCUAUCCUAUCCUAUCCUAUCCUAUCCUAUCCUAUCCUAUCCUAUCCUACCCUACCCUACCCUACCCUACCCUACCCUACCCUACCCUACCCUACCCUACCCUACCCUAUCCUAUCCUAUCCUAUCCUAUCCUAUCCUAUCCUAUCCUAUCCUAUCCUAUCCUAUCCUAUCCUAAUGCAACAUGAGAUAAUUUUCUGAAAUUCACUACUUUUGGUGCUCUAUAUGAUUAUUUUCUUUUCAAACAAAUUUUGCUUUUACUAGCAUCUUUCUGUCACCCAAGUAACCUGAAUUCUGGCAUUCCUAACUUUAGAGUGAUUGAUUCCACAAUGGUACCUUGUCACCUUCCUGAGGGGAUGACAUUUACUUUAAAACUCCGUCUCAGCAGUCUCCAGUCCUGUCUCCCCCACACCUAUACCAUUCUCUUAGUCACGCUGUCUGGCCAGUUUUACUUUCCCUCUUUCACCUACUCUUUCAGUCUCUCUUUCUUCUCUUUUUCACUUUUAUAUCACAUUAUCUACACUUAUAUAUUAUUUCCACUGUUCCUAUAACCUUGUCCCUUAUUCCAGGGCUGAAUCCUUGAAUUACAGUGUCCUCAGACUGAGUCUUUGUCUCAGUCUACUCUCCCUGCCUUAUUCCUCUUUUACUGUGGUCCAGCUGCUGUCCUUUGUGUUUUCUAGUUUGUGCAGCUGAAGAGUCAUUGAAGACUUGUAAGAGACAGCGACCCUGCAGCCAUUUCCUCUAGCUGACUUGAGAGGGAAAAUUGCUGUAAUUUCAGUGAACUCCACCCCCAUUCCCUGCAAACGUACCUUGAGCCAUCAGAGUUAUUUGUGGGGAAGCUUCAGUAAGUCUGAAAUGAAC
rnacentral:lncRNA from 1 species